rnacentral:rRNA from 1 species
CGGGACACGUGGUAUCCUGUCUGAAUAUGGGGGGACCAUCCUCCAAGGCUAAAUACUCCUGACUGACCGAUAGUGAACCAGUACCGUGAGGGAAAGGCGAAAAGAACCCCGGCGAGGGGAGUGAAAAAGAACCUGAAACCGUGUACGUACAAGCAGUGGGAGCACGCUUAGGCGUGUGACUGCGUACCUUUUGUAUAAUGGGUCAGCGACUUAUAUUCUGUAGCAAGGUUAACCGAAUAGGGGAGCCGAAGGGAAACCGAGUCUUAACUGGGCGUUAAGUUGCAGGGUAUAGACCCGAAACCCGGUGAUCUAGCCAUGGGCAGGUUGAAGGUUGGGUAACACUAACUGGAGGACCGAACCGACUAAUGUUGAAAAAUUAGCGGAUGACUUGUGGCUGGGGGUGAAAGGCCAAUCAAACCGGGAGAUAGCUGGUUCUCCCCGAAAGCUAUUUAGGUAGCGCCUCGUGAAUUCAUCUCCGGGGGUAGAGCACUGUUUCGGCAAGGGGGUCAUCCCGACUUACCAACCCGAUGCAAACUGCGAAUACCGGAGAAUGUUAUCACGGGAGACACACGGCGGGUGCUAACGUCCGUCGUGAAGAGGGAAACAACCCAGACCGCCAGCUAAGGUCCCAAAGUCAUGGUUAAGUGGGAAACGAUGUGGGAAGGCCCAGACAGCCAGGAUGUUGGCUUAGAAGCAGCCAUCAUUUAAAGAAAGCGUAAUAGCUCACUGGUCGAGUCGGCCUGCGCGGAAGAUGUAACGGGGCUAAACCAUGCACCGAAGCUGCGGCAGCGACGCUGAUGCGUUGUUGGGUAGGGGAGCGUUCUGUAAGCCUGUGAAGGUGUGCUGUGAGGCAUGCUGGAGGUAUCAGAAGUGCGAAUGCUGACAUAAGUAACGAUAAAGCGGGUGAAAAGCCCGCUCGCCGGAAGACCAAGGGUUCCUGUCCAACGUUAAUCGGGGCAGGGUGAGUCGACCCCUAAGGCGAGGCCGAAAGGCGUAGUCGAUGGGAAACAGGUUAAUAUUCCUGUACUUGGUGUUACUGCGAAGGGGGGACGGAGAAGGCUAUGUUGGCCGGGCGACGGUUGUCCCGGUUUAAGCGUGUAGGCUGGUUUUCCAGGCAAAUCCGGAAAAUCAAGGCUGAGGCGUGAUGACGAGGCACUACGGUGCUGAAGCAACAAAUGCCCUGCUUCCAGGAAAAGCCUCUAAGCAUCAGGUAACAUCAAAUCGUACCCCAAACCGACACAGGUGGUCAGGUAGAGAAUACCAAGGCGCUUGAGAGAACUCGGGUGAAGGAACUAGGCAAAAUGGUGCCGUAACUUCGGGAGAAGGCACGCUGAUAUGUAGGUGAAGCGACUUGCUCGUGGAGCUGAAAUCAGUCGAAGAUACCAGCUGGCUGCAACUGUUUAUUAAAAACACAGCACUGUGCAAACACGAAAGUGGACGUAUACGGUGUGACGCCUGCCCGGUGCCGGAAGGUUAAUUGAUGGGGUCAGCGCAAGCGAAGCUCUUGAUCGAAGCCCCGGUAAACGGCGGCCGUAACUAUAACGGUCCUAAGGUAGCGAAAUUCCUUGUCGGGUAAGUUCCGACCUGCACGAAUGGCGUAAUGAUGGCCAGGCUGUCUCCACCCGAGACUCAGUGAAAUUGAACUCGCUGUGAAGAUGCAGUGUACCCGCGGCAAGACGGAAAGACCCCGUGAACCUUUACUAUAGCUUGACACUGAACAUUGAGCCUUGAUGUGUAGGAUAGGUGGGAGGCUUUGAAGUGUGGACGCCAGUCUGCAUGGAGCCGGCCUUGAAAUACCACCCUUUAAUGUUUGAUGUUCUAACGUUGACCCGUGAUCCGGGUUGCGGACAGUGUCUGGUGGGUAGUUUGACUGGGGCGGUCUCCUCCUAAAGAGUAACGGAGGAGCACGAAGGUUGGCUAAUCCUGGUCGGACAUCAGGAGGUUAGUGCAAUGGCAUAAGCCAGCUUGACUGCGAGCGUGACGGCGCGAGCAGGUGCGAAAGCAGGUCAUAGUGAUCCGGUGGUUCUGAAUGGAAGGGCCAUCGCUCAACGGAUAAAAGGUACUCCGGGGAUAACAGGCUGAUACCGCCCAAGAGUUCAUAUCGACGGCGGUGUUUGGCACCUCGAUGUCGGCUCAUCACAUCCUGGGGCUGAAGUAGGUCCCAAGGGUAUGGCUGUUCGCCAUUUAAAGUGGUACGCGAGCUGGGUUUAGAACGUCGUGAGACAGUUCGGUCCCUAUCUGCCGUGGGCGCUGGAGAACUGAGGGGGGCUGCUCCUAGUACGAGAGGACCGGAGUGGACGCAUCACUGG